rnacentral:rRNA from 1 species
UACGUAGGGUGCGAGCGUUGUCCGGAAUUAUUGGGCGUAAAGAGCUCGUAGGCGGUCUGUCGCGUCGGAUGUGAAAGCCCGGGGCUUAACCCCGGGUCUGCAUUCGAUACGGGCAGACUAGAGUGUGGUAGGGGAGAUCGGAAUUCCUGGUGUAGCGGUGAAAUGCGUAGAUAUCCGGAGGAACACCGGUGGCGAAGGCGGCUUCCUGGACCGACACUGACGCUGAGGCGCGAAAGCUAGGGGAGCAAACGGG